AUGUGUCGUUUGUGCAUAAUAACGCACUAAUUGCGUAUACAAAUACUUCCCGCUGCUAUAGAAUGCUGUAUGUGUGUUAGGUCGCAGAUUAUUGUAAUGAAAUAAUUUGAAGUGCACUAGUAUGCGGAUCAGGACAAGGCAUUUUUAUACUCUGAGCACGCUAUAACGAGUUCCUCUGAACGCGUCAACCGGUAGAUCAGGUAAUAAACGCACGUCAGAGAUGCGUCCUAACAAUAUCAACAUAUAAACAAAACAACCUAGGUUAAACCGUGAGAAAAAUAAAGGUACUCAACGAAUUAUUCCUCUAUUUUAAAAAGAGUAGCUACAAAUGUAAAUUCUAAGCAUGUCAGUAAUGCCUAAGGAAAAAUGUAUACAUAGGAAAUAAGUCAACAUUUUAAAUACCCCUGAAGGAAACACCACCAUCAGCUAGGGGCCAAGUCCAAGGUCCAGUCUUUAUAUUUUUUAAGUGCAUGGAUGAAGGAGUGUUUUCUAGCCCCAAAUGUUCACUUAAAGCAAACAAUAGGACUGUGGGCUACUGAGUUACAGGUGUAUGUAAUCACAUCCGUUUUCAUGAUGACUACUUUACCACUUCUGCCCACCUGUUUUAAAGCCCCCCUUGUGUUGACUCACAGCAUUUCCCUGCAUGCAGUGGCUGCUUUCCAUAAUGAUUCAACAGGCAGCCAGGUUCAUUACAACAGUCUAAACCGUCUGGAGGGUUUGCUGAACUCAUCCUCAAACCUUUCACAAGACUGCCACACCUUCCUGGCUAAAGCCUGUUGUUUGCAACUGUCUCAUUUUCUGGAAGAACUAAAAUGAGACCUUGUUUUUGCCAGAAGAUAAUAAUGUCAGUCUGAGGGAUUAUUAUAUAAAUGCACUUUGUUGAGGAGGCCUGUGCAGCAGAGAGAACCAGCAGUCAUCUUGUAAUAUUGUUGAGAUUAAUAGGAAUUGUGGUGCUGUGGAGUGUUAAAAAGACUUUACUGUCCCCUUGUGUUCAGACUGGCUGUGCACACCUCAGACAAGGUAUGUCCCAAUCAGGAAAGACACACCAGGAACAAUAAGCAUGCCCAAUAUUCAGAGGGUUGGUUCCCAUAUAUUACUGUGUCUGCUUUAUUUGUUGGCAGCACAUCACUUUAAUGCUCGUUACUCCAAUCACAAUAAUGGUGUUGCGGCAAAUAAACCAGAAUGUUAUUGUCUUGGUGCAUUAACAAUGUUGUACUUUGGAUCACCAAUAAAGAUGUCACACACAA